GACGAACGCUGGCGGCGUGCCUAAUACAUGCAAGUCGAGCGAAGCGGCGGAUGGGUGAGUAACGCGUGGGUAACCUGCACUUAAGUCUGGGAUACCAUUUGGAAACAGAUGCUCAUAACGGAUACUAAUGGAGUGACGUGGGAUGCAUUAGCUAGUUGGAAAGGUAACGGCUUACCAAGGCGAUGAUGCCUAGCUGAUUUGAGAGAAGGAUCUGCCACAUUGGGACUGAGACACGGCCCAAACUCCGACGGGAGGCAGCAGUAGGGAAUCUUCCACAAUGGACGAAAGCCGGAUGGAGCAACGCCGCGUGAGUGAAGAAGGUUUUCGGAUCGUAAAGCUCUGUUGUUGGUGAAGCGGUAAUCAACCAGAAAGUCACGGCUAACUACGUGCCAGCAGCCGCGGUAAUAC
rnacentral:rRNA from 1 species